UACGUAGGGGGCUAGCGUUGUCCGGAAUCAUUGGGCGUAAAGCGCGUGUAGGCGGUCCGGUAAGUCCGCUGUGAAAGUCGAGGGCUCAACCCUCGAAUGCCGGUGGAUACUGUCGGGCUUGAGUACGGGAGAGGCGAGUGGAAUUCCUGGUGUAGCGGUGAAAUGCGCAGAUAUCAGGAGGAACACCGAUUGCGAAGGCAGCUCGCUGGGACGGUACUGACGCUGAGACGCGAAAGCGUGGGGAGCGAACAGG
rnacentral:rRNA from 1 species